CCCUAUUCCUCUCACAGCAAGCCUACACCCAAGAGCCAGAAAACGAAACAAACAGUCGUAUAUGUGGAAAUCGAAACUUAGACUACGUCCUAUACUAGCAUACUACCCUACUGAAUAGUGUGUCUGGUAUAUACUUGAUUUCACCACUGUGCUAGAUUGGUAUACUAUUUAGAACGCUAGGCUAGUUGUUUGGUUGUUGUACUUUUGCCCAGCUUUGGCGUCAGAGCUUUCUGUUCCUGUGGAUCACAGGACACGGACGCUGUCGUGCGCUUCAUCAGAUUUGAAGACUUGUAAAACCAGUUCUUGGUAUUUGAGACUGAAAGCCAUGACAGGAUAAUACAACAGGACAACGAAACCUUUCGCGCAGCUAUGGCAGUUCAUUCAGUGCGCGUGGAUUUUAUUUUUUAUUGAUUUAUUUUAAUCGUAUAGUCGCUUUUCGGGGCAACAAUUUGAUUUAUUUGGUUUUGGAGAUGCAGUGCCCGGAAUGUGGGUUCGCUCUGAAGGAGUCUUUCCGCUUUUGCCCCGAGUGCGGAUACAGAUUGAGCACGCAGCCAAGUAGCACUACAGGUGGAAAGUCCCCAGAACAACAGGCCCAUCAAGGAAAAGAGGCAAAACGAAACCAGGCAGAUCCAGACAUUGAUACCAAUUCAUCCUCAGGGCAUUGCAUUGAGUUUCCAGGAGCUAGAGUGAGAGAAAAGGAAAUUUCAAAUCCAGGUCUCGGUUCAUCACAGACUGACACAAAUCAAGAUAAAGAUGAUUAUACCUCUGAGAGAACGCACAAUGAAAUCUCUACUAUCAAAGAAGAUGUACCACAAGAUGGCGCCAGUUUGUCUUCUGAAAAAGCAACUGAAGUUAAAGUUAGGCUGUCUGUUGAUACAGCUUCCCAAAACACACAGACAUCACCCCAUGUCAGGGAUAGAAUGUCUUCCCAGUCUCAUCAAACAUCCUCUUCAGAUCUUCCAAGCCAGUGCUCUAGCCAGUCAUUUCCAGCACCACCUGGAAUAAGGUCCUCUUCAUCUGAAGCAUCCAGCCAGAGUAAUGUGGGGCCGGACUCUGGCAAGUGUCAACUCACUGAAGAACAUAUUGAGAUGGAAGUGAACAGUAUCUCUUCUGAGCCUGAUCCUGCGAACAAUCUCAAGACAGAGUCUUCAACAAAUGAUUUUUCUGUACAGUGUGCCCUGUCAGACUCUACAACUCAAUCACAGAUAAAGGACCAAAAUGAACACAAGUUACCACCUAAUGCAAAUGAAGCAACAAAAGUGGUGUUGAUCAGUCCAACACAGUCUUCCACAGCUGGCAUAUUGCCUCCUUUAGGUGAUUGGACCACUAAAGAACCAGAUACAAGUUCUCAUGGGGACAUUGCGAAAGCACAGACAGAAAACUUGAAUCAGCAAUCUUCAGUUCCUCUGCAGCCUUCAAACAGCCAUACUACUGAAGUCACAAAAGAGGAAACGCACACAUUGCAAUGUACCACUGGACAGGGUGAAAAACAACAAAAGCCCUUGAACAGGAAAUAUUUGGGCCACAUAAUAAUGAGGAAGGAAUUGCUGCAAAACCCAAAGCAGACAAUGUUGGCAACAAACAGCAAACUAAACAUGAAGAUGACACAGCACAAAACAAAGAAACAAAUGCCCUUCAGAAGAAAAGGAACAUAGACACCCCUAAACAAGGCUUUAACACUGAGAAGCCUUUACCUCAGCUGGAAAGUGUCCCUUCAAACCAAAACCAUGAAGUGGGUUUUCAAGAAGUGUCAUCAAAGAAGAAAAAGGACAACCAGAACUACACAUCAAACCAACAACAGGAUCCCAAAGACAUCACCAUUUUCUUUCAUGCCAUCUUAUCCAAAGACUUUAACAUAGACCCAUCAAAAGACACUGUUACUAUAAGAUCAGUUGGUUUAGCAGGGAAUUGGAAUCAGGAUAUUUUGGAAAUGGAAGUCACAAGAAACCUAGGACAUGACGGUUUUCUUGUGCAAGGAAAACUUGAAACCAGUAGAAAGAAUGUUAAGAAGUAUAUUCCUUAUAAAUAUGUUGUUCACAAGCAAGACAAAUCACAUGAAUAUGAAUAUAUCUACAAAGACAAUGCAAGGGGCAUUGUUAAUCGCUGUCUGAUAAUCAGAGAAAAUUUACUUACACAACAAGGGGAAUGGCACCAGUAUGAUGAUAUAAUAUGUGCAAAGCCUUCACAUGGUAGGGUUGAAAGGAUAAUAAACUGGUUGGUGAGCAUGAAGCCUGAUUUAUUGAGAGGAAGAUCUAUAGCAGGACAGAUCAUGUUGGAAACAAUCAGUGAUAUCCUUGGUGAAUGGAGUAAGCUAAAUGUGAGAAACUUCUUUGUCCAGCUCCAACAGUUCUUCAAAACUUAUUCACAUCCCCAUGUAUAUGAAGAACAGGCAAAUCCAUGGCACUCUUUGGAGUAUGGUGAAAGUCAGGUGAAAGAACUUCUCACACAUUUCAUGCUGACCAAGAUUGCUUCUGUUCAAGCAAACAGAAAUUUAUCAAUUCAAGAUCAGCAAAGGGCAGUGGCCAUCUUUCUGCUGGUUUAUCUAAAAUAUAAUCUACCCAUAGAUCAGAAAUCAGCUUAUGAAAUUGGCUGGCUACUUUGUCUUCCCACACUGUCAAAGAAAGAAUUCAGUUCCUACUGGGAUGCGUUUUUACAGCCUCUUCAAGAAGAAUGUGUUGCAGAUGCAAUUCGAAAGUUUUGUCAGAUUGCACUUACCAGAAAAACUACCAACUGGAUACUUGUUCUUCCGUUGCUGCAUUUUUUGGAGAGAGACAGCAAACCAUUUGAGCCAAACACACACUCUACAGGACAAGAGUUUGACAUUUGGGCAGGACUUAAAGGGCUGAAAAUUCCUCUUACUCACGUUACAGACUCGCAAUACACAAGGUAAUUAUGUUUUAUUUGUCAUAUCAUAUCUUCAUAAAACUGUUUUGAAAUGCUGUUUAAUCAUAUAUUUAUGUCAGAAUAGCAAGAAUGAGCUAUUUCCU
ensembl:lncRNA